rnacentral:rRNA from 1 species
AGAGUUUGAUCCUGGCUCAGGACGAACGCUGGCGGCGUGCUUAACACAUGCAAGUCGAGCGAUGAAAUUUCUUCGGAGAUGGAUUAGCGGCGAACGGGUGAGUAACACGUGAGGAAUCUGCCCUUCACUUUUGAAUAACUCCGGGAAACCGGAGCUAAUACCGGAUAUGAACUCUGGCGGCAUCGCCGGAGUUGGAAAGUUUUUCGGUGAAGGAUGACCUCGCGGCCUAUCAGCUUGUUGGUGAGGUAAUGGCUCACCAAGGCGACGACGGGUAGCCGGCCUGAGAGGGCGACCGGCCACACUGGGACUGAGACACGGCCCAGACUCCUACGGGAGGCAGCAGUGGGGAAUAUUGGGCAAUGGGCGAAAGCCUGACCCAGCGACGCCGCGUGCGGGAUGAAGGCCUUCGGGUUGUAAACCGCUUUCAGCAGGGAAGAAGCGAAAGUGACGGUACCUGAAGAAGAAGCACCGGCUAACUAUGUGCCAGCAGCCGCGGUAAUACAUAGGGUGCAAGCGUUGUCCGGAAUUAUUGGGCGUAAAGAGCUCGUAGGUGGUUCGUUACGUCGGAUGUGAAAACCUGAGGCUCAACCUCAGGCCUGCAUUCGAUACGGGCGAACUGGAGUGUGGUAGGGGAGACUGGAAUUCCUGGUGUAGCGGUGGAAUGCGCAGAUAUCAGGAGGAACACCAAUGGCGAAGGCAGGUCUCUGGGCCACUACUGACACUGAG